rnacentral:rRNA from 1 species
UACGUAGGGUGCGAGCGUUGUCCGGAUUUAUUGGGCGUAAAGAGCUCGUAGGCGGUUUGUCGCGUCGGCCCGUGAAAUCUCCACGCUUAACGUGGAGCGUGCGGUCGAUACGGGCAGACUUGAGUUCGGUAGGGGAGACUGGAAUUCCUGGUGUAGCGGUGAAAUGCGCAGAUAUCAGGAGGAACACCGGUGGCGAAGGCGGGUCUCUGGGCCGAUACUGACGCUGGAGGAGCGAAAAGCGUGGGGAGCGAACAGG